rnacentral:rRNA from 1 species
GACGAACGCUGGCGGCGUGCUUAACACAUGCAAGUCGAGCGGAAAGGCCACUUCGGUGGUACUCGAGCGGCGAACGGGUGAGUAACACGUGAGUAAUCUGCCCCUGGCUUUGGGAUAGCCACCGGAAACGGUGAUUAAUACCGGAUACGACCACUUCUCGCAUGGGAUGGUGGUGGAAAGUUUUUUCGGCCAGGGAUGUGCUCGCGGCCUAUCAGCUUGAUGGUGAGGUAAUGGCUCACCAUGGCUUCGACGGGUAGCCGGCCUGAGAGGGUGACCGGUCACACUGGGACUGAGUCACGGCCCAGACUCCUACGGGAGGCAGCAGUGGGGAAUAUUGGACAAUGGGCGGAAGCCUGAUCCAGCAACGCCGCGUGAGGGAUGACGGCCUUCGGGUUGUAAGCCUCCUUCAGCAGGGACGAAGCGCAAGUGACGGUACCUGCAGAAGAAGCACCGGCCAACUUCGUACCAGCCGCCGCCGUAA